GGCUUUUCGAAUCGGCGCAGAGGUUUUAUCAGACACCAAUCCAUUAGGGCUGAUCAGAUUUCCAAGAUAAGUGAAGUU
rnacentral:pre_miRNA from 1 species